CCUAGAGCUGUAGGCUUUGCCUGCUAUCUCUUACCCAUGUCUUUUGAGUACCUUCGUUUCCUCGGCGGGUCCGCCCGCCGAUUGGACAAUUUAAACCAUUUGCAGUUGCAAUCAGCGUCUGAAAAAACUUAAUAGUUA
rnacentral:misc_RNA from 1 species